GGAACAGGAACAAUAGGGCACAGAAACACUAGGGAAAAUCACAAAUAAAAUACACUCAAAAGACCAAAACCAGGGGAAAACUAAAUACCAGAACAUAUAUCAUGACACCACAUGUGGACAAACUGAUCAUCAGGGCAUAGCGGCAGGGAAGGAGUGCAGACCUACAGGAGCUGUUUUGGUAAGGGUUUUUUUUUUAUAAGCAAGUUUUUAGGUGACAUGCACUGUUUUAAGUUGGUUGAAGACAAGAUGUGCAGAGUGUAAAUGUGCAUGCAGGGAGGCCCGCCAGUAAGGAGUUGAAGAGAUUUGAGAUUUAUUGAUUUGAUGAGGCACGUGAAUGUUUGUUCUGCUUUUUGGUUCCCAACAGAAACAUAUAAUCUUCCAGGAUUAACCUGCAGCUCACACAAGUUAACUGUAGCAAUGCUGGAAACAGACAGCAGAUGCAUUACUGAGUGUUUAUAUUUAGGUAAAUUGUGUUACAGGUUAAACUUUUUAUUGAGUAGCAUUUAAACAGGUAUCGAUAUCAGUACCAACCAAAAUGAGUUAAAAAUAUUGAUAAAAAUCCGAAAAUGUGCAUGUCAAACCUGCUUGAGAAAUGUUUAUAACGAUCUCAGCUCUGACAGGAAGAUUUAGUGAAAGGUCAAAGGUCAAAGGUUACUCUAUUUGUACCCUGAGGUAAAUUUUGUUCGCAGUGAAUCACAUGUAUGACACUAGACGAACAAACAGCACAGUACAUACAUGUAAAGUGACAACAGUACUCAGCGGUAAGAGAUUAAAAUGAAUCAAAUAAGACCAAAUUAAAUUCAGUAAAACCAAAUAAAAACCAAUGGCUCUCAAGGUUUCCCGAUGGCUGAUGAACUUGAAAGGGACUGAAUGGUUUGUAUUUCAUGAAAUGUUAUGAUGGAUUACCAUCAGAUCACCAGCAACUUUACUGCAAAACUCAUUUGUUAACCUGAAUAAAAUCUGAAUAUUUUUCUGCUUGGAGUCCAGCUCUGAAAUGGUUCCUUUUUCCCCUGUAUGCCAGUUUAAAAUUCCUUAAUCAUAAACAUAUUUCAUUCACUGGACAUUUUUCUGUGUUUUUAUGACACAGUUGCAGUGGAAACAAUACACUGGUGUCCCAUACUCAUUAAGUCUUAAUCUGGAGCACACAGUCUCUUUAAAUCAUCCCAGAUGGCCGCCCCGUGAGGGUGGAGGAGAGAGCUGAGAUGCAGAGGAGGCGAUGGAGGACGCUAAUAUCAAGGAUGGCUUUGAUCCUACGAGGUAAAUCCCUCUCUGAUGUCACCGAGACACUCCACAUGCGGACUGUUAAUGAAAAAACACCAGCCGAGGUUCUCAGUCAUGCUGCAUUGAGCACUGAGUGGAGUUAAUUUAGAAACAGUUUUAAACGAGGAAACCAUGCAUGUGAAGAACAGUAAUGAAGUGUGUACUGAAUCAAACCAAAUAAAUAUUAAUGCGGAGAUGUAAUCCUUGUCCUGACCUUUCUUUAUAACCCUUCAAUAAUG